UUGCGAUCCCAAGGUUCACUGCGGUUUUCCACAAGCCUGUUUCUGCCUAUCACCAUGAGUGAUUCCUCAAUACUCAGAUUUAUCAUCAAGAUCUCAAUUAUAAGCUCAAGUUUUGAUGACAACUUGGUGAUCUGCAGAAAGCACCACCAUGUAAGGAAGGCCAAGACCACUCUGGAAUCAGUCAAGGGUGAAAUGGAGUGAGGCAUACCAGGAUAUGCCUGGUUUUACUUUUGGGAAGGAGGUUGAACAGUGCAAUAUUUCUUCUAUAGGAUUGCAGUGACCAGACAUGCUACUGUAACUCUCAUGGUCAUGUGCUGGAAUUAGCAGAUGUUCAACAAUUUGGCCAUCUCGCUGACCUGUUGAUAUCAGAAGACCCCAACAGCUCUGCAAAGCAAGUUGCAAAACAGAAUCCAUGAAACUGGCAGUGACUGGAAACCAAUUGGAAGACUUUGGUCUGUGAUGUAGAGGAGUGGGCAGAGGCAGAAGCAAAGACAACAAAAAGAAGAAGUGAUGUGGAUGUCUUCGUCAUAUUGCAUGACUCUGCUGACCCAGCAACAAAGAGGAGGGUGUUCAACAUCAUCCUGCUAGUCAGGAUUCUUCAGGAGAAGCAGUGGAUUCUUGUGGCAGAGAUGGUCAACCACUAUAAAUACCUUUCAACUCAUCCUGGUUCUUUCAAAGAACUUUCUUGCUUGUUUGCUACUGAAAUGUACUG
ensembl:processed_transcript